CCUGCCACUGCCCCAUGGCCUCCACAGUGGGCCUUUGUAGAGAUCUAUAUAGAAAAGGAAUAUGUCCAGAAAUGGAGAGCAAGCUUAUGACCAUGCUUGUGAAUCAGGAAAAUGGGGUUCUAAGAUACCCUUAAUUCAAGGGUCCUCAAGACCAGUCUGGAAAACAUAGGGGCAGGCCUCUUGAGAGAGGGGGAUGUGUGGGAACAUAGCUCUGUUAUAGAGAGAUACACAGCAUGCCCAAAGCUUGAUCCACAAUAGUCCAUAAACCAGACAUAACAAUGUAUAUCUAUAAUCCCAGUACUAUAAAGGUAGGAAGAUUAGAUGUUCAAACUCAUUCCUCAUAGUGACUUGGAAGCUAGCCUAGGUUAUAUGAGGACAGGGGGUGGUGGGGAGAAAGAGAGAGAGAAAGAGAGAGAGAGAGAGAGAGAGAGAGAGAGAGAGAGAUUCUGUUUACCUAAUUUAGGUGCCCCGCCCUCACCCUGUCCUCUAUCUCUUUCCCUGAAUUAAAAGCUGCACGGCUACAGAGAACUGGGUCUGAUUUGGAAACAGCUCUGCCAAGAGCUAGCACAGGAUGGGCAGUCCUCAUUCAAGUAAUGAAGGCAGUAAUGAAGGCACAUAAAGGCUGAGAUCAUGGGUAGAAAAGGGCUCAUGAAUGCCACAAGGUACCCAUGGCCUCCUCUUCUCCAAACCCUCGAGGUGCCUCCCCCUAGCAAGCCCCCUGGGUUGGGCAGCACUAGAAUGAGGGCUGAUGGGAACAUCUUUCCACCCUCUCUAACAUUAGGUAUGGGAUGAAGAUGAGGGGUGCCUCAGCCUCUGUCCUCUCAGCCCCAGAGCUCACUGUUCUGAACCGCACCCUGCCUUGCUGAGCUGCACGUCUCUGGUGCUGCUUGGAGAAGACUCACACCGAGGCAGAGCAGAACCAAGAGAGGGCAGGGACAGUGCCAGGAGGAAGCCCUGAGCAUGUGUCAAUACUGAGCCAAGACAGGAGGUUAUUUUUAGAGGCAGCCUGGUGGGGUAGCCGUCUGUUCUGUUGUGCUCUGACAGGGAGAUGCCCUCAGGAGGAGAGAGGAACGUCAUGGCCUAACCCUCAGAUUCUCUGGGCCUCCUCUGAGUCUGACAGAGCUGGUUUCCUCCAGGGAGCCAACCUGCUGACGGUUCCUUAGUCUCAAUUUUGUGAGCAUAGAAGCAGGAUAGAAGGAGAGAGUCACUAAGGGUCUUGAACAGCCUCUGUGCGCCAGGUGUCUUACACACGUCUCUCAUGUAAUUAAUUCUCCCAGAGAGAGAGAGAGAGAGAGAGAGAGAGAGAGAGAGAGAGAGAGAGAGAGUAUGUAACUUGCCCAGGAUCACCCAGCUUGUGAACGGCAAUGCCAGAACUUUAACCCAAAUCCCUCCCUCCCUUCACUCCGUGCUGAUUCAUGAAAACACGUCAUCCCUGCCUACAGGAGGACCCUGAAGACUCUGGUCUGGCCACAGCUCCUCCUUCAUUCCUGUGACGUUUGGACCCAACCUUCCCCUGAGCCUUGCAGACUCCUUGAGUGAGUCAGCUCUGGCUCCAGGCUACCUACUGAAGACAAUGGACGUUUACUGUCUACUGUAAAUCAGGCCCCAGGCUCUGCUCGACCCUGUAAUCGACACAGGAAGUAGUGGAAAGGCAGCCUCACACACUGGGGGCUCCAGAUACGCUCUGUCCUCUGUGCUCCAGGCUGCACCCCUAUUUUUCCUCAUUCAUUCAGCCCCCAAGGCCAACACUUAUGACCCCACAGAUGAGGAAAACAAGGGCUAGGAGAGCUCUUGGCCUGGACCCCAGCCCACUUGUGUGCCUAGUACCCUCGUCUGCUCCAGCCCUCCACAGAGGCCCUCUACCCUGAGCUGGGAAGUCCAGAAGGCAGGACCAGGAUCGGGGGUGUUCUCCUGGUAGCUUUAUCUCUCUGGAAGCCAGGACAUUCAAGGCCAGAGUUCAAGCCCAGGGAGAAGUUAAGAGACUCAACUACAUGAAAGAGAAAUACACGUUGGAAAAUGCAGGAAUCCAGUCUUUCAUCAGAAGCUGAAGUCAAGGGAAGGCCUAUGGGUUGGAGAAAACAGAGUGGGUUAUAGAGGAAGAGCUUGGAUGGGAGCCCAGAGCUCAGGGCCCUGUCCCUCUGACCCCCUGCAGGACUUUGACUGAGGUUGGGGUCUAUCCCUGUGGGGCUCACUCCACAUGAGGGAAGGGUCCCUCAAGCAUCCUCUUAGUUCUUCAAAGUAGUAGAUAAAGGCCAGUCCUCCUUCGGGCUGUCACAGGGGCCCUAACAACAAGGCAGCCUGUGUUAGAACCCGUGAGGGUUGAGCAGGGGGUGGGCAGUGUGUGUAUACAGUCAGACACUAUACACUACAAUCCCUUAGACUCACCAUCUCAUGUCUUCCCAACCCUCAGCACAACUGGAUGAAUGGCUGCUUUUCGAGAGCAGGUUUUGUUUUUGUUUUGUUUUGUUUUGUUGUUUUUUGUUUGUUUUUUACAAAAAGGAAAAAAAGGAGAAGUUGCAAUAGGAAAGGAAGAGAUUACAGAAAGAAGAAAACCAGCUAACGGAGAUGGAUUCACAAUAAGGGACUGAUGGUCCGUUCCCUGGCGGCAAAGGAGUUGGCGAUAAUGGAGCCAGGAGAGCUACUGUGUGCCCUCAAUAUUGUCUCAGGCCGUCACGGGAGGGGUGGGGAGGAAAGGAGGCCGAGCCCAGGAGAGCAGGUAAGUGGACAGAUGGGAAGAUAGAAGGAACUAGAUUUGAACCUCCAACAGGCAGACCCUUUCCAGUCUAUGUGACCUGGGACACUGCUGCCUCCUGGCCUCUAACCCCCUCCCUAGCACCCUAGUCAGUCCUUCCAGGGAGACUUGGAAAGAACAGAGGACGCAAGCCACAGACUCAACCCUGCUCGCUCCACCCCAACCCCUGCAGGACUUUUGCUCAGGCUCCUGUUACCUGAAAGAUUCUGCAUUCCUCUUUUUUAUUUUUUUUCUUGAGCUCGCCUGUUUGUUUUGCCUCCUUUGGCAGUCAGCUCACACCACCCCUGACAGGCAGCAGCGUUCCCCAAGCAGAACAAACAGGUCCAACACCCUUGCUCUAGUAACAUGAUUUCUAAGCUCCAUCAUUGUGCCUGGCCCUGUGGCCAAGGCUGGCAGGAACAACGGGGCUUAGCCAAAGAUCGCCCAUAAGCACACCUGUGGCUCAACAAAGGUGUGUGUAGCGGGGUGGGGGUGGCUGUCAUACAAAAAAGCACGAGUGUGGUAGGAGACAGUGUGGUGUCUCCAUGCUACCCCACCAGCAUCCUGCAAGGACAAGAGUUAAGGAAGCAGAGGCUGCUCCACAUGGGAGGGCGGUCAUGAGUCUUAUCCAGGAGGCAGCAUCUAUCCAGGUCAGGGUUUUGAUCUGGAAGGAAGCUGUGGACCCGGAUACCAACCAGGAUUGGGAUUGGGUGGCGCUCUCUACAGAGGACAUUCUUGCUUGUUGUCUUCGUUCAGACACGAUUACUGAGCCAUCUUGUCUGUGUCUUGCUUGUGGCCUGACAGUUCUGUUCUAGCACACUCUUUUCAGGAGAUCCUACAGCUGGCUGAAAGGACCUGGCCAGUCCCUGUUGUCUGUAGCUGUCUGUGUCCUCCAGAACAGGGGUUAAAGCCUGACACACAGCAGACUGGCCACUGUGACCUUACCUGCCCAAGAGGUUGCAGCGUGCAGGGUAAAAGUGCAGGCUCUGGGAAGGAUUAACCUUAUCUCCAGCUCCUUCCACCCUGGACGUGCGUUGGCCUGGAGGUUCACAAGCUGUUCAAAAUCUUAAGGCCUCAAGAGACAGGAAGAGAAAGGACUCAGAGCACAGCAGAAGCCAGAAGCCAGAAGCCCAACCCAGGCAGGCGGGCUAGCAGGACUGCUAUUUAUCCUGAGGACAGCCCUGACCUUUCCCCAACAGGGACAGAUGCGGGGAGCCUGGCUACAUCCUUCCCUUUAAAACAAGAAAUGGAAGCAUUACUCACAAAGCCCAGCCAUUUAUCAUGGUCUGGGGACAUUAAUUUGACAGUGUGUCAUUUUCCAUUUGGUUCGGGCCCGGUGGAGGUUGCCCUCGAAACACCUUCAAUUAAAUGCAGCUAAUAGCACAGAGCUAUUUUGAGCAAGGAGGGCCUCUGCCUCCCCCCAGGGCUGUGGCAUGUGUGUGCUGGGGGAAGGGGGUACUGCUGGGAAGUGUGGUUCAGGGUGAUCCAGGGUCGGAUGGCUCUCGGGCUCCAUAUGCAGACAGAGUGCACACAGGGCGGACAGGGUGAAGAAGUACCCCCUUUGUCUUUUGGAUGUCCCCACAAGCAGUUGGGCCGCACUGUGACCCUAGACAUAGGAAGGGGGUGAACCAGUCCUUUGCCCAGCAUGGAGAAAGUAUGGCAUUUAGAGUGUUGAAUGCUGGCAAGCCGAUCUAGCUGCUCUGUCUCCUAAGGUGUGACCUUAGAUAGGGCCCAUAACUGCUUUGAGCCUCAGUUUCUUUUGUCAACUGGAGACAACUUCUUGCACAGAACAGUUGGAUGGUUUCUAUGGCCUUGUAAACACAUGCCAAACAACACACACCAGAGAUGCGUUCAUUUACAGGGGAUGACUCAAUAGCUUUGCUUACAUCCUGAAUUUUACAAAUGAGGGAAAGGCCAGUACAUCCCGCACACCUGGGUCUCCUCCUUCAUUGGAACUCAGGAAGGACAGAGUGGUUCAGGGUGAGCCUUGAGCUCUAGAGGGUAGAACCUAGAUUGCAGUCCCAGCUUGACCACCUCUGUGGUCUGGGGCAAUCCACUUAACGUCUCUGUACCUCAGUGCCCUGGCCUGGGAGAUGGAGAUCAGCCUGCCAACACUCCCUGGCCACAGUGAUUGGAUGAGAGACUAUGAAUGAAUGCCAGCAGCAAGUCGACCUGUUCAUCAUGGCUGCUGUUCUUUUCCUCACCUUAGCCCUGGGCCUAGAGGACAUUGCUGAUGUCACCAAUUACCUCAUUUCAGCCACGGACUCGGCGUUAAGUAUGGAGGACUGUUCUAUCCUCGUGGUGUUAGAAGGCAGGUGGUGUUAGAACCUGGGUCCCUCUGAGAUCUGUUGUUUCUACUUUCAAAAAUGACUGUAGGGCUGGAGAGAUGGCUCAGCGGUUAAGAGCACCCGACUGCUCUUCCAGAGGUCAUGAGUUCAAU
rnacentral:sRNA from 1 species